ACGAACGCUGGCGGCGUGCUUAACACAUGCAAGUCGAACGGAAAGGCCCUGCUUUUGUGGGGUGCUCGAGUGGCGAACGGGUGAGUAACACGUGAGUAACCUGCCCUUGACUUUGGGAUAACUUCAGGAAACUGGGGCUAAUACCGGAUAGGAGCUCCUGCUGCAUGGUGGGGGUUGGAAAGUUUCGGCGGUUGGGGAUGGACUCUCGGCUUAUCAGCUUGUUGGUGGGGUAGUGGCUUACCAAGGCUUUGACGGGUAGCCGGCCUGAGAGGGUGACCGGCCACAUUGGGACUGAGAUACGGCCCAGACUCCUACGGGAGGCAGCAGUGGGGAAUAUUGCACAAUGGGCGGAAGCCUGAUGCAGCAACGCCGCGUGCGGGAUGACGGCCUUCGGGUUGUAAACUGCUUUCGCCUGUGACGAAGCGUGAGUGACGGUAAUGGGUAAAGAAGCACCGGCUAACUACGUG
rnacentral:rRNA from 1 species